rnacentral:rRNA from 1 species
GAUGAACGCUGGCGGCGUGCCUAAUACAUGCAAGUCGAGCGAACACACAAGGAGAUCUUUCCUCUGCGGUUAGCGGCUGACGGGCGAGUAACAAGUGCAUCGCAAUCCUCUUUGACUUGGAUAACUUCGGGAAAACGCUGCUAAUACUACCUAAUAUAACCUACCGCUUAGUUCAAUAGUGAUAGACGCCUUUCCCGUUUCUUUUAGAUGGUUUCGCGUCGCAUUAGCUAGUUGGUAAAGUAACGGCUUACCAAGGCAACGUAGCGUAGCCGACCUGAGAGGGUGAUCGGCCACACUGGAACUGAGACACGGUCCAGACUCCUACGGGAGGCAGCAGUGGGGAAUCUUCCACAAUGGGCGAAAGCCUGACGGAGCAACACCGCGUGGGUGAUGAAGGCCUUCGGGUCGUAAAACUCUUUUAUUAGGAAAGAAAAGAUGUGUAAGUAACUACGCACGUCUUGACGGUACCUAAACAGAAAGCCACGGCUAACUACGUG